rnacentral:rRNA from 1 species
AGAGUUUGAUCCUGGCUCAGGAUGAACGCUAGCGGCAGGCCUAACACAUGCAAGUCGAGGGGCAUCACGAGGUAGCAAUACUUUGGUGGCGACCGGCGCACGGGUGCGUAACGCGUAUGUAACCUACCUAUAACAGGGGCAUAACACUGAGAAAUUGGUACUAAUUCCCCAUAAUAUUCGGAGAGGCAUCUCUCCGGGUUGAAAACUCCGGUGGUUAUAGAUGGACAUGCGUUGUAUUAGCUAGUUGGUGAGGUAACGGCUCACCAAGGCAACGAUACAUAGGGGGACUGAGAGGUUAACCCCCCACACUGGUACUGAGACACGGACCAGACUCCUACGGGAGGCAGCAGUGAGGAAUAUUGGUCAAUGGACGCAAGUCUGAACCAGCCAUGCCGCGUGCAGGAAGACGGCUCUAUGAGUUGUAAACUGCUUUUGUACGAGGGUAAACUCACCUACGUGUAGGUGACUGAAAGUAUCGUACGAAUAAGGAUCGGCUAACUCCGUGCCAGCAGCCGCGGUAAUACGGAGGAUUCAAGCGUUAUCCGGAUUUAUUGGGUUUAAAGGGUGCGUAGGCGGUUUGAUAAGUUAGAGGUGAAAUGUUAGGGCUUAACCCUGAAACUGCCUCUAAUACUGUUGAGCUAGAGAGUAGUUGCGGUAGGCGGAAUGUAUGGUGUAGCGGUGAAAUGCUUAGAGAUCAUACAGAACACCGAUUGCGAAGGCAGCUUACCAAACUAUAUCUGACGUUGAGGCACGAAAGCGUGGGGAGCAAACAGGAUUAGAUACCCUGGUAGUCCACGCAGUAAACGAUGAUAACUCGCUGUCGGCGAUACACAGUCGGUGGCUAAGCGAAAGCGAUAAGUUAUCCACCUGGGGAGUACGUUCGCAAGAAUGAAACUCAAAGGAAUUGACGGGGGCCCGCACAAGCGGAGGAACAUGUG